rnacentral:misc_RNA from 1 species
AACGCACCUUGCGCCCCUUGGCAUUCCGAGGGGCACGCCUGUUUGAGUGUCGUGAACUCCUCCACCCUCUACCUUUUUCGGAAGGCAUUGGGCUGGGAUUUGGGAGCUUGCGGGUCCCUGGCCGAUCCGCUCUCCUUGAAUACAUUAGCGAAGCCCUUGCGGCCUUGGUGUGAUAGUCAUCUACGCCUCGGUUUAGCGAACAUAACGGGAGUCGCUUCCAACCGUCUCGCAAGAGACAAUUCAUUACCAACUUGACCUCAAAUCAGGCGGGACUACCCGCUGAACUUAA